rnacentral:rRNA from 1 species
UAACACAUGCAAGUCGAACGAUGAAGCCCAGCUUGCUGGGUGGAUUAGUGGCGAACGGGUGAGUAACACGUGAGUAACCUGCCCCCGACUCUGGGAUAAGCCCGGGAAACUGGGUCUAAUACCGGAUAUUACCUUUGACCGCAUGGUUGUUGGUGGAAAGAUUUAUCGGUGGGGGAUGGACUCGCGGCCUAUCAGCUUGUUGGUGAGGUAAUGGCUCACCAAGGCGACGACGGGUAGCCGGCCUGAGAGGGUGACCGGCCACACUGGGACUGAGACACGGCCCAGACUCCUACGGGAGGCAGCAGUGGGGAAUAUUGCACAAUGGGCGAAAGCCUGAUGCAGCGACGCCGCGUGAGGGAUGACGGCCUUCGGGUUGUAAACCUCUUUCAGUAGGGAAGAAGCGAAAGUGACGGUACCUGCAGAAGAAGCGCCGGCUAACUACGUGCCAGCAGCCGCGGUAAUACGUAGGGCGCAAGCGUUAUCCGGAUUUAUUGGGCGUAAAGAGCUCGUAGGCGGUUUGUCGCGUCUGCCGUGAAAGUCCGAGGCUCAACCUCGGAUCUGCGGUGGGUACGGGCAGACUAGAGUGAUGUAGGGGAGACUGGAAUUCCUGGUGUAGCGGUGAAAUGCGCAGAUAUCAGGAGGAACACCGAUGGCGAAGGCAGGUCUCUGGGCAUUUACUGACGCUGAGGAGCGAAAGCAUGGGGAGCGAACAGGAUUAGAUACCCUGGUAGUCCAUGCCGUAAACGUUGGGCACUAGGUGUGGGGGACAUUCCACGUUUUCCGCGCCGUAGCUAACGCAUUAAGUGCCCCGCCUGGGGAGUACGGCCGCAAGGCUAAAACUCAAAGGAAUUGACGGGGGCCCGCACAAGCGGCGGAGCAUGCGGAUUAAUUCGAUGCAACGCGAAGAACCUUACCAAGGCUUGACAUGUGCCAGACCGCCUCAGAGAUGGGGUUUCCCUUCGGGGCUGGUUCACAGGUGGUGCAUGGUUGUCGUCAGCUCGUGUCGUGAGAUGUUGGGUUAAGUCCCGCAACGAGCGCAACCCUCGUUCCAUGUUGCCAGCACGUAAAGGUGGGGACUCAUGGGAGACUGCCGGGGUCAACUCGGAGGAAGGUGGGGAUGACGUCAAAUCAUCAUGCCCCUUAUGUCUUGGGCUUCACGCAUGCUACAAUGGCCGGUACAAUGGGUUGCGAUACUGUGAGGUGGAGCUAAUCCCUAAAAGCCGGUCUCAGUUCGGAUUGGGGUCUGCAACUCGACCCCAUGAAGUCGGAGUCGCUAGUAAUCGCAGAUCAGCAACGCUGCGGUGAAUACGUUCCCGGGCCUUGUACACACCGCCCGUCAAGUCACGAAAGUUGGUAACACCCGAAGCCGAUGGCCUAACCACCUUGUGUGGGGGGAGUCGUCGAAGG